rnacentral:rRNA from 1 species
AUUGAACGCUGGCGGCAGGCCUAACACAUGCAAGUCGAACGAGUGGCGGACGGGUGGGUAAUGUCUGGGAAACUGGCCGAUGGAGGGGGAUAACUACUGGAAACGGUAGGUAAUAACGCAUACCAUCGGAUUGGCCCAGAUGGGAUUAGAUAGUAGGUGGGGUAACGGCUCACCUAGGCGACGAUCCAUAGCUGGUCUGAGAGGAUGACCAGCCACACUGGAACUGAGACACGGUCCAGACUCCUACGGGAGGCAGCAGUGGGGAAUAUUGCACAAUGGGCGCAAGCCUGAUGCAGCCAUGCCGCGUGUAUGAAGAAGGCCUUCGGGUUGUAAAGUACUUUCAGCGAGGAGGCGUUACUCGCAGAAGAAGCACCGGCUAACUCCGUGCCAGUAGCCGCGGUAAUAC